GAUGAACGCUGGCGGCGUGCCUAAUACAUGCAAGUCGAGCGAACAGACGAGGAGCUUGCUCCUCUGACGUUAGCGGCGGACGGGUGAGUAACACGUGGAUAACCUACCUAUAAGACUGGGAUAACUUCGGGAAACCGGAGCUAAUACCGGAUAAUAUAUUGAACCGCAUGGUUCAAUAGUGAAAGACGGUUUUGCUGUCACUUAUAGAUGGAUCCGCGCCGCAUUAGCUAGUUGGUAAGGUAACGACUUACCAAAGCAACGAUGCGUAGCCGACCUCAGAGAGUGAUCCGCCACACUAGAACUGAAACACAAUCCACACUCCUACGGGAGGCGGCAGUAGGGAAGCUUCCGCAAUGGACGAAAGCCUGCCGGAGCAUCACCGCGUCAGGGUAGAAGGACUUCGGAUCGUAAAACUCUGUUAUUAGGGAAGAACAAAUGUGUAAGUAACUAUGCACGUCUUGACGGUACCUAAGCAGAAAGCCACGGCUAACUACGUG
rnacentral:rRNA from 1 species